rnacentral:rRNA from 1 species
UACGGGGGGGGCAAGCGUUGUUCGGAAUUACUGGGCGUAAAGGGCUCGUAGGCGGCCAACUAAGUCAGACGUGAAAUCCCUCGGCUUAACCGGGGAACUGCGUCUGAUACUGGAUGGCUAGAGGUUGGGAGAGGGAUGCGGAAUUCCAGGUGUAGCGGUGAAAUGCGUAGAUAUUGGGAGGAACACCAGUGGCGAAGGCGGCUCACUGGACCGGAACUGACGCUGAGGCGCGAAAGCGUGGGGAGCAAACGGG